ACUGUAUGUUUAAUUUGCUCAAAUCCCUUGUCAGAAAGUGCCCACAGUGCGGAGACUUUCUGGACUUUAGUGAGUCCAGAAUUAACUUGUGACGUGCUCAUAUUAAACUAUGAA